UCCAAUGGAGUGUGGUCUCUCCAUCGCCAGGCGCCCUUGGCAGAACCCGUAAAAACACGACCAGAACUUUGCCAAAUAGACUCUGUGGGGGAGCGGACCAGGGCGCUUGGAUUUAACAGGCUCUCUGGUGAGUCCUCAGCUUUGAGGAGGCUGCAGGGGGCUACCAAGGGCUCCUCAGAGAUUCCACCGCGGGAUUUAUCCGGGCUCAGGACGGUGUUUCUGCUCCAGACAUGACCUCGUGGGGUUCUGCUCCCUCCCCUGCCCAAUGGCCCUUCCCGCAGGCUGUCGCUGCUCUCAUUGGGACAGAACAGCCCAGGACAGCCAAGGCGGUGCCAGGAAACCGGCAGGAGUGAGCUAUAGUGACGCUCUCCACGCCUUUCCGUCCCAGACUUUACCCAGCCAUGGGGGGUGGCUGAGCUAGACCUCGCAGCUGCAAGGGGGUGCUUGCUGUCUUCUGGAAACAUCAGGAAGCAAGGCCUGAGCGUCCCCAGCAGCUGGCUAAGCUGAUAGACUCCUCUUCCCCCUAGAUUCCUCUGCUCUUCAGCUUUUCUGGGGGAGUCACCUAGAAACACUUUGAACUGUGGGGAGGCAUAUCCAGUCCCUGCCCUAUUUUUGCCCGCUCGUCCUAAGAGUGAGUCCAAGGACCAGGACUCAGGCCAUUUCUUGUUCCGGGGCUGAAUGUGGCCCCUGCAUUUGCGGCUGGGUCUCUCAGGGACACAGGCGCCUGCUUCCAGGGCAUUGGUGUCCACAGGGCUGGUGGACUCCUCGCACAGGAAGUGGUUUGUGUUCACUCAGCACUGCACUGAAAUGUUUGCCGCAUAAACAGCAGCCGUGGACAGGCAAGUCUCACAAAUGUCCCUUUAGGUCACGGUCCCCUUGGAGAGAUCCGAUGGGUCCUCUGGGCUUGUACCCAGCAAACCGCUGUGUACCACAUGAAACACCCGCGCACAUUUUGCACACCAUUUUAUUGGCUUCAAAAGCCUGUUUGCGAGCUGGGCGUGGUCGUACACGCCUUUCAUCCCAGCACUUGGAAGGCAGAGGCAGGUGGAUCGCUGCGUUUGAGGCCAGCCUGGGCUACAGAGUGAGUUCCAGGACAGCCAGGGCUACCUAGUGAGACCCUGUCUCAACAGCAAAACAAAACAAACGAAAAACCACCGAACGAACCAAGGAAGCAAAGCCUGUUUGCGGCUCUCAUUCCCUCGUUUGGCGGUUUUGUGAUCUCCACCAGGACCAGCUGUGCCGCAUGCUGGGGAUUCGGGGUGAAAGCAAAGAUGCUUGUCUUCCACGGGCCACAUCAGACCUUGGGGAUUCAGUGGUUCAAAACUGGUCUCCUCCUCUACUGAAGAGUUCCCCUGCUGAACAAGGCCCGCCCCCGGGCUGAAGCUGAAGGUGGCAUUGCUGUUCUCGGGUGGGUGCUGCCCCCCCAGGCUGAAGGUGGUACUGCCCCCCCAGGCUGAAGGUGGUGCUGCACCCCCUAGGCUAAAGGUGGUACUGCACCCUCUAGGCUGAACCCAAGGCUGAAGGUGGUACUGCACCCCCUAGGCUGAAGGUGGUACUGCAUCCCCAAGGCUGAAGGUGGUACUGCACCCCCUAGGCUGAACCCAAGGCUGAAGGUAGUACUGCACCCCCAGGCUGAAGGUGGUACUGCACCCCCUAGGCUGAAGGUGGUACUGCACCCCCAAGGCUGAAGGUGGUACUGCCCCCCCAAGGCUGAAGGUGGUACUGCCCCCUCCAAGCUAAUACCACCCUCCUAGCACACCAGGUCAGGUUGCUACGUUCCACCUACAAGGCUGAGUGCAUUCUUGUCCUAACAAGAGAGCAAUGGCUAGAAUGUGGCAGGCUAGCCCAGGACUAAUGUACUAAAUACAUAGGACGGAGAAUCCCCAUCACCUGCCCGUAGAUCCCACUAGAAACACCAACCGCUUUCUACCACAAGGAAGUAUCACAACCAGGAGACACAGAGUGGCCAAGAAACCGACCCAAGGUCCUGUUGGGAGAGAUGCCUGGAUUCUUUUGGAUGCUAGAAGCUCCUCUGGGUACAAGUUCGGGAGAGCAGUGGAGGACACAGGGAUGCCUGGCUCAGGGCCAGCUCUGGAUGCACUUGAGGGCUGCAGUACACCCGGCUCUGGACAGGCCAGCCUUUGUAUCUCCACACCUACAGCACCCAAGGCAGAACUGAGAGCCCGGGGAUGCUGGUGGAUCUGGCUGUUACCUCCAGAAUUUCACCCCAUGCAAGUCUAAAUCCAGCAUUCCCGGAGACGUGGAAUAGUCAGGCUGGCCUCUGGACCCGGAACACAACCAAUGGCAAAGAUUUUGUGAGGAGGUCUGUCUCCACACUACGCAGCAACCACACUGGCUUGAGGUGGUUUGUUUAGUUACUAAACUGACCCAUGGGAUACUGUGAAGGUUGGGUUCCAGACCCAGAGAACCAUGAAAGACUUGAAAAAGGAAUUCUAAACCCCAAAAUAUCCUUCCUUUGGGAAAAAAAACCUUAAUAUUUAGGAAAACAAGAGGUUUUACUACUUUAGGGGGUAGAAGGGUGUGGCCUUCUCUCCCUUGGGUACCAAGAGACACACAGCAGACCCCCUGGCUUAGGUAAGGAUCCGGGGACAAAGUACAGUGAAUGAUUUUCUAGGGCCGAGGGGCAGGGAUGAAGGGUGUCUCAAAACUAAAUUUGGUUCACAGCUGAAAUAAUACUGCAAGGACUCCAAGCAGUUAAAAAACAACCCCCAUUAAAGCCCACAGGAAAUUCCUAACGUAGGCUCCCAGGUUUCUAUCGUCUUCUUAAAUACACUUACGAAAGGGACAGGGCUGGGACGUCCUUUUGGAAGGCCCAGAGACUUGGUAAAUACCUCAGCCCCAGAAGCUCAUCAUCUCCCCCUCAACCGUCACUCCUAUGACCAAUAGAACUGAGGUCCUUUUUAUUAUGAACAAUACACGAGCCCACAGAUACUGUGAAAUUUCAAAGGCUACAGAAGUACUUAGCACAAAAAAAAAAAAAAAAAUGGAAGAACCUCCUCUCUUCAGUGUAUUUUUGAAACCCAAAUUAGCUCCCACGGCAGGCUAAACAUUGACCAAGUAAACAAACAGGCCUGGUUUCUGUUAUGAAGGAGAAAAUAAUAAUAAUAAGCUGGUCGAUAAAUAUUUAUUAAGUUUCUAGGAAGCUGAAGGGACACAGAAGUAGGCGGGUACCAUCCCUGUCCUCAGGGGAGACUCCACAGGAAGUGCACACUAAAAUUAGCACACAGAAAAGAGGACAUGGGAGACCUGAGUUCGAGUCUUAGAAUAUACACUAAAAAGCCAGGCAUGGUGGUGCAUACUUGAAAUCCCAGCACUUGGGCGGGGCCCAGAAAUGAGCAGAUUCAUGGGGUUCUCUGGCCAACCUGCCUAGCUUAGCACUUGAUAAACCCAGGGGGUCCCCGAGAUACACUGUCUCAAAAAACUAAGGUGCCUAGCUCCCGAGGAACAGUACUUGAGGUUGGCUGCUGGGUGUCAUGCACUCGUGUCUGGGUCUGCACACACACACACACACACACACACACACACACACACACACACAUACACACACACACACACACACACACCCGCGCACACACAAAGAAUAGGCCAGCCCACAGUGCUGUAAAAACAGCUAGGUAAACACCUGUGGGACAUACAGGGAGUAGAAAAGGCCAUGUUAUAGGGGUAGCAAUACCAGAACAGAACUGGGCCAGGAGAGCCAUGUGGAAGCCGGGAUGAUGGUUUUCGCCUCAAGGGAAAGACAGCAUACUGUGUCUAGAGACAUUCAGCCCAGACCCCCUUACUAAGUGAGUCUGCAUCAGCCAAACAUGUUCACUGGAUGCCUGGAGUCCCUGUCUGUGCUGCAGGAAUGGCUAGGGUGGACCUGCAUGUGGGAAGUAGGGACGCUCCAAGACUGUAGUCUCUCUAGCCAUUUGAGCUACAUCUUUCCUGCCCCCACCAUUUGAGCUACAUCUUUCCUGCCCCCACCAGGCUGCACUUGCUCCUCCUAGGAUACUGAGACUCUUAUGAACCAGUCAACAUGCCAGGCAGAGUGGCAUGUGGGGUAGCCUGUCCUGGAAGGGAAGCAGAUGAAACCCUUGUUGUUAUCUCUGGUUUUGUCUCUACACCACAGUUGCCGUGGGGCUCCUUCCUGCCCCCAGUGAACUUCCUGCUAGAAGGCAGCAUCCAUGCUUGGACCGGGGUCAGUGAUGAGUGAGUCAUCUGGGUCCUUGUCUUCUGGAGGCCCGGGCAUUCUAGACUGGCCUCUGCCCUUGCUGACUCACAGAUGCCUCUGGAAGGGCAUGGCUGUGAGAUGUCAUCAGUCCCUGGGACAGGCGAGUUGCAAAUUCUCAGAAUUUGGUUCUGAUUUUGGUAAGAGAGGAGGAGCUAGUGAGAGGUCUGUGGUGGGAGGCUGGAGAUGCCACCAAUGGCAUCAGGGACCCCUGUGCACUGAGCUCAAGUAUCCCAUUCUGGCCUGUUUUAGGGGACUGUGAGUUGUGUAGCUGGGUCCCUCUGGGAGUGUCCAUUCAGCUUCCCUACUCAGUUACAAACCCAGAAGCUCAAAAAAUAAAUAAAUAAAAAAAACACCCACCACACAGUCUCUAAAUCAGUUCCAUUUUCUUCCAAGAAGGGCCAUCUGGUCUACCUGGCUUGCCAGGCAGUUUAAUGAGCAUGGAGAAGUGGUAGAAAUGGAACUCCUCCCAGGGAUAGUCCACCUCCUGCUCUGCAGUGACUAUGAAUGUGGUGAGCAGCAUAUCAUUCUGGCUUUGUGGCUGAUGCCGGAUUCCUGGCACAGGUACCACAGCCCUUUAUAGUCUGCAUUUUUUCCCUUCAUUCUUGGCUGCAUCUGUGUCUCCACACAUGCCUUCUAGCUUUCCGAGCACCUACUUUUGAUCUGCCCUACCCUGCAGGAUUUUAGGCUUCCUUAGCAACGGCUGCAAAUAAACCCUUCAGGCAUGCAAGGCAGACGAGAACGUUCCAGCAGCAUUGUGGGGCGCGCUUUUGAUUGGGAUUUGAGGAAGGAGGCAGUAGCUGUGAGCACAGAGCUCCGGGCAGAUUUUGAAAAGGAGGAAGUGGAGCUGGACUUUGUUACGAAUGACCUGUCCCUCAAUGCUCAGAUAUGGGACUUCAGGGGUGACUAGGGGUGGUUCUCCACAUAAACAAAGAAACGUUGUUAUCUAAGGGGCUGGAUCCCGUUAUAAACAUGUAGCAGACAUCCUGCUCUCUUGAGUGUGUCCUUCUGGAACAGGGUGAUGCAUGUGGGAGGCUCCACCAGAUGCAACCCCCCAUCCCUGAUCUCGGACUUCUGAGCCUCAAGAACAAUGAGGCGAAAAAGAUUUAUAAUUUAGCCACCCUUGGAUAUUUUGUUACAUUCCCGUGCACUAAGAAAUCAUGGACAAAAAGGAGGGUGGGAGCAUGGGAGAAUCAGAGUUGGGUGCUUGGAGCAGAGGAAUAGGUGUGGAAGACAGAAGACGCUGUGUGAUGACAAACAGCAAUGCUGAACUAGAGGCUCCGGACACUGCGCAUGUGUCAACUAGGUCCUCACCAACAACCCCGUGGAGUAACUACUGGUCCCCACAGUGAGCAGCUGAGGAAGCAGACACAUGGAGAAGAGAAGUAAGUCGGUAAAGCUUCGCUUAAGAAACAGCAAACCGCCGGGCGGUGGUGGCGCACGCCUUUAAUCCCAGCACUCGGGAGGCAGAGCCAGGAGGAUCUCUGUGAGUUCGAGGCCAGCCUGGGCUACCAAGUGAGUUCCAGGAAAGGCGCAAAGCUACACAGAGAAACCCUGUCUUGAAAAACCGGAAAAAAAAAGAAACAGCAAACCAAGUCGGAGUCAACGUUCUUAACCGUUACGUCUUCGCCUUGCUGGACAAGUGGUGUCUUUGUGCGUCCUGGUGGCUAGGACACACAGACAGGGUGGCUUUAAAAAUAAAAGUUUACUUUCUCAGGA